rnacentral:rRNA from 1 species
AUUGAACGCUGGCGGCAUGCCUUACAUAUGCAAGUCGAACGGUAACAGGUCUUCGGAUGCUGACGAGUGGCGAACGGGUGAGUAAUACAUCGGAACGUGCCUAGUAGUGGGGGAUAACUACUCGAAAGAGUGGCUAAUACCGCAUGAGAUCUACGGAUGAAAGCAGGGGAUCGCAAGACCUUGUGCUACUAGAGCGGCCGAUGGCAGAUUAGGUAGUUGGUGGGAUAAAAGCUUACCAAGCCGACGAUCUGUAGCUGGUCUGAGAGGACGAUCAGCCACACUGGGACUGAGACACGGCCCAGACUCCUACGGGAGGCAGCAGUGGGGAAUUUUGGACAAUGGGCGCAAGCCUGAUCCAGCAAUGCCGCGUGCAGGAUGAAGGCCUUCGGGUUGUAAACUGCUUUUGUACGGAACGAAAAGCCCUGGGUUAAUACCCUGGGGUCAUGACGGUACCGUAAGAAUAAGCACCGGCUAACUACGUGCCAGCAGCCGCAGUAAAAC